AUACCUUCUCGGCCGUUUGGCUAAGAUCAAGUGUAGUAUCUGUUCUUAACUGCGUGAAUGCAGUUAGGGUCCCUCAGGGGGCCCAACCGUUCACACAAAUUUUUAGAGGGUGCGGGGGAGCCAGCUGCACUCGUGCACUGCCCCCCGCAUAGUUGCAAUUGGCUUACACCUCCCCAAUCAGCAGCUAACCCAU